GGCAGCUCUAGUGGUAGCCAUUUUUAUUGGGCCUAAAGCGUUCGUAGCCGGUUUGAUAAGUCUCUGGUGAAAUCCUAUAGCUUAACUGUGGGACUUGCUGGAGAUACUAUUAGACUUGAGGUCGGGAGAGGUUAGCGGUACUCCCAGGGUAGGGGUGAAAUCCUGUAAUCCUGGGAGGACCACCUGUGGCGAAGGCGGCUAAACUGGAACGAACCUGACGGUGAGGGACGAAAGCCAGGGGCGCGAACC
rnacentral:rRNA from 1 species